rfam:Brenneria goodwinii strain OBR1 genome assembly, contig: Contig
UCCGUGUCACACUGCUGCUGCACGCAGCACUCCCAUGUUGCCACGACCUUCAAGGCAACGCGCAGGACCAACCUGUGUGGUCGACUCCCAACCCGCCUCGCUACCACUUUGCGGGUGAUCGCUGCGGCGAUAGUAGC